UAAUAUCAUAAAAAUUCUAGACUUUUUGAGCACACAUGCUAAACUGUUCACUUUAAAUGCUUAUAUCUUCUUUAUGUGAAUGUUGAUUCAUACCAAAAUGCUUUUUUGCAUAGUUGUGUUUGACACAUGAAAACGUCUCGGGUUAUGUAUGUAACUGUUGUUCACUGAGAAGGGAACGAGACGCUGCGUCUUAAUUGCCAUACUUCCUGCGUCCCUGUAACGCCGUCUUUGGCAAUAUUUCAGAUAGCGAUAUACUUCCUGGCUCCUGCGUCACCCUGUCUUUGUCGUUAAGCCUCACCAUUGGUUGAAUUUGAUAUACACAUUCAGACGCACUUACUCCUGGAGGCGUCCCCAAAGUGUCACCACAGUGACACAGCGCGAGUUCCCUCAAAAGGGAACUGUAACAAUGUAUCUUAAAAGGUAACAUGAUGUAACCUUGCUCUCACUUGAAAUGUGUCCCCACAUUUAGUCCUUGAUUUUGAGGGAAUCGGACCUGGAAAGUCCUUGAAAGGUCAUUGAAUUUGAAGUUAACUAAGGUGUGGGUACCCUAUAGAUGUGUGGGAAACAAAUACUAUUAUUCUGCAACCGAUUAGUUGUGAUUAAUCGAUAUGCUGCCCUAAUGGAGUAAAUCCACCACAAUCUACUGUCAACACACAUCAGGUUUGACUUUAUUCCUUGUGUGGAUCGUCCACUUUUCACUUAGAUGUUGUGUGUGAUCUUUAAAGGUUCUCCAUGUUCUUGACAGGUUCUUCAGCUGUGUCCUGGAUUCAAACACAUGCGUAGAUGCUUUUCUACAGACAUAAUAAACUUUUUUCUUUGAAAGCAGACCUAUUUGAAAGAGUGUAAAUGAAAGCUUUUAAAUAUUGACCACUUACAUGCUCUUUUCUUUUUGUUCCCUAUUUUUUGUCUCUGCCGUGUUCAGGAUGCCAAAGAAGCUGAAACUCCGCGCAGUGUCCUGGAGGAGAUCGGACUCACAUAAACCAUCAGAGAUAAACUGUACCAAACCUAAACCCACUGAGAGCCUGUCCAUUUAAAGAUGUAGCAAACACACACACACAUCAUGAGUUUGUUUCAUGGUUCAUACACUGAAAUAUUGAUCAAGCAUCUGAUGGAUCUGCAUCUGUACUCGUCUAUCACACAGAUUCUUCUGCUGUAUUCACACCAAAUGCAGAAAUCUGAGGGAAACUUUUUAAAGAUCUUCUUAAGAUCAUUUUACACGACUCUGCAAUGUUUCCCAAUGCAUUUGAAUUUUGUAGCAUUCACAGAGGUCACUUUUCUAAUACAGCACUUACAAGAUAUUGACCCUGUUUGCCAACGAUGCAUCAUCAUGAAUUAAUGUGAAACUGUAAUCGAGAUGGAUGCACAUCCACAAACAAUCCAAAAGACAAGAGAUUAGAUCACAAAACCAAAGAGUGUUUUAUUCAUUUCUUUGUCGUGUGUUAGAUUACAGUUUGUAAGGCUUUAAACAGACUGCAGAAGGAAAACACUUACAGAUACAGCCGUACUGCAAAAUAUUGUUCAAAUGUGUCUGAAUGUAUUCACAAAUGUGUGUUUUUGCUUUCUCACAUGAAGCAUUACAGCAUCAUUAGUGUCAGUAACAGUUUGAAAAGACUCAAGCUGACUUAAAGUUAAAGUUAGUUAAUCUGGUGAUGUGUACAGCUUCAUGUGAGCCCUACCAUUAAGAAAAUGUACCAUGUUUUUGUGGUAAAAGUGUAGUAACCAUGUUUUUUUGUCUGUAUUGAUUAAUAUUAAACUAAGCAUGGUAUGGUUUUUGAAAACCAUGGUUGUCAAGACCAUGGUUAUUUUGUCGUUACCAUGGUUUUACUACAGUAAACAUGAUUUUUUGUAUUAAAAACAUGGUUCUUUUCCAUAAGGACAUAAGAUAGUAAAUAUAGAGAAAAAGAUGGAUGCUGGCUAGUUGUCUGACUAACACAAAUCCUCUAUAAACUAGAAAAUCUAUCAACCCUUACGGAAAUGAACCAUGGUUUUAUUACAGUUAAAACCUAAAAAGUCAUGGUUUUCAAAAACCAUAGUUAAAACAUGGUUUUGCUAAUAGUAAUCAAUACACCCAAAAACAUGGUUACUACACUUAUACCACAAAAACUUUGAUUAUUUUAAUUGUAUCAAUGGAAUGAAAUUCAGCUUUUUUUCGUGCCUUUAGCACGAAUGUCUUUUUUGUGUCACUUGCACAAAUUUCUAUAAAUAGUCUUGUGUGUCUGUGGCACAACUAAAGUCACACGUCAUUUUAUAUUUAGUUUUUUCCUUUUUUUUACAAUUAUUGCUUGGGGUCGGAAUCACUUUCUGUUACAUUUUAGACAUCCUAACCCAAACCCCAACUCUUAACUUCAACUCCAGAUGAAAAUAGUUUUAAAAGCGGAAGAAAAACAUGUAGAAACCAAUACAUAAAAGUACAUCCUAACCCAAACCCCAAAUCUAACCCCAAGCCACAAUGAUUUAAAAAUAAGGGGAAAAAAGAAAACAAUACAUAAAACACAUGAAAAAUAAAGUUGUGUUACGGACACCAAAAACUCUUCAUAGAAAUUUGUACAAGUAACACGAAAAAGACAUUUGUGAGUUUCAUUCGUGCCAUGGACACAAAUAAAUUAAUCAAAUUUUUUGUGACUAUAACACGACUUGCCGUGAGAUCAUGUUGUAAAAAACAUGGUUACUACACCUUUAUAGUUUUAAAAGCGUAAGAAAAACAUGUAGAAACCAAUAGAUAAAAGUACAUUCUAACCCAAAAGUACAUUCAAACAAAUUUAUAGAAAUAUGUGCGAGUGACACGAAAAAGACAUUCAUGCUCAAGGCAUGAAAAAAAGCUGAAUUUCAUGCCAUGGACACACACACACACACACAUAUAUAUACAUAUAUAUAUAUAUAUAUAACGUGACUUGCCAGAUCAUGUUGCAAAAAACAUGGUUACUACACUUUAACCACAAAAAAACAUGGUUAAUUUUCCUAAGGAAACCUCUUGAGGUUUGUUAACAGCAGUAAUACAAAUCAUGUCAAGUAUCUGAUCAUUCACAUACACAGUUUGUUUCAGAUUCAUAACCUGAAAACCUCACUGAUAUCUCACUGUGUGUUCAACAGCCAGCGACACUCCAACACUGUUUACUUCAAUGUGUUAUUUCACCAAAAUCACUGGAAACUCAACUUUUCCUGAGAGUAUUGUUAAUAGUUGUAUGUGCUGUUAUUGUGCAUGCUGGUUGGCUUUAAAAGGUUGUUAAGCGUUGAUGUAAUGACAGUCAGGUUUUUACAUGUAUGAUGUGUACAGUAACAGCGUGUGUGUGUUUUUAGGCUGUUAGCUUUCAUUCACUUGAUGUUUGACAGGCCGUGUACAGAAAUCACGCGUGUUAUAUGUCAUUAACUGAUAGAUUUAAAAAUACAGCUUUACUGAUUUCUGUCCAUCUGGUUCUGAAGAGACGCUGUGUGUCGUCGUCAUUCUUAAAUCAACAGUGUUUGAUGUUAAACAUGAAAUAAAAUUGUUUACAGCAGUUUAUAAAGGUGCAGUUUUAUUCUUAUUGAUGUCCCUUAAAGAUUAAAGAUUUGUUGAGAUCACAUGA